rnacentral:rRNA from 1 species
UACGAAGGGGGCUAGCGUUGCUCGGAAUCACUGGGCGUAAAGCGCACGUAGGCGGACUCUUAAGUCGGUGGUGAAAUCCUGGAGCUCAACUCCAGAACUGCCUUUGAUACUGAAGAUCUUGAGUUCGGGAGAGGUGAGUGGAACUGCGAGUGUAGAGGUGAAAUUCGUAGAUAUUCGCAAGAACACCAGUGGCGAAGGCGGCUCACUGGCCCGAUACUGACGCUGAGGUGCGAAAGCGUGGGGAGCGAACAGG